rnacentral:rRNA from 1 species
UACGUAGGGUGCAAGCGUUAUCCGGAAUUAUUGGGCGUAAAGAGCUCGUAGGCGGUUUGUCGCGUCUGCUGUGAAAACUGGAGGCUCAACCUCCAGCCUGCAGUGGGUACGGGCAGACUAGAGUGCGGUAGGGGAGAUUGGAAUUCCUGGUGUAGCGGUGGAAUACGCAGAUAUCAGGAGGAACACCGAUGGCGAAGGCAGAUCUCUGGGCCGUAACUGACGCUGAGGAGCGAAAGCAUGGGGAGCGAACAGG